rnacentral:ncRNA from 1 species
CUAGCCUUUGGACGUCGCUGCGAAAGCAGUGAUCGGGUUUGGUCGCCCGACUU